GAUGCUGGACCUGCCGGCGCCAAGGAUGCAGCUGCCCUGCUUGCACCUGUGACACUGGGGCAGAGAGGGAACGGCUACUUCUACACUCAGUGCUCAGAACAGUGAGCACUAAGAAUGGUUUGCAGCUGGACAUUG
ensembl:snoRNA small nucleolar RNA SNORA43